rnacentral:sRNA from 1 species
GUGCUAGGUCCGUGGUUUAUCCAUAAAGCAGGUACAGCACAGACAGCAGUAAUGCAAGCUUCCCCAUCAGCAUGCAUCAACCCUGAACUGGAUGGAUCACCAUAACCAUUAAUUUUCAAGCCCAUUCAUUCCUUGUCCUCU